rnacentral:tRNA from 1 species
AGGGGCGUCGGUUAAUGGCAAACCAACGGUCUCCAAAACCGUUACUGCAGGUUCGACUCCUGCCGCCCCUG